AUCUCUCUCUUGUUCGUUUUUGUUAGAUCUCAUCUCACUCAAAAUUGCACAGAUUCUCUCCGAAUAAUGGAUCAUCUUAACACCAGCAAUACAUCUAUCACCAGUACUCUUAUCAUUCACAUGAAACUCCCAAAAGAAGAAGAUGAGAAAAUGGUUGAUUUGGAUACGAAUCGGUGUGAGCAAACUCUCGCAAAUGGCCUUCUUAUCUCACAGGUGAUUAUGGGGUUAAGUAGAAAGUGUAGUAAAUGGCAUCAGAAGAAAAAUUGGUCUAGGCGCACUUUUCAGUAUUCGGUUAUAAUCCUUGACAACUUUAGGGGAUUUCACUUCAAAUCGGGGUCUCUAAAUCAAUUACACACUUAACCUUCUUACCAAUCUUCAGCACGACAUCCACAUUCACACAUCUUCCCCAAAAUUAAUCUUCUUCCAAACAACCUAAUUCAAAUCAGUCACAGGUAUAUCUGAAUGAAUGAUUCAGCCUCAUCAUGAUCAACUUGGAAGGGAUUUCCAAAACAAUUACAGGAAACUCAACUGCACAAUUAUAAGAAAGCAGCAUUCCUGUCGUCAAAAGCGUUUGAACUGAUAUCCGAUUUUAAGUCUUUGAACGCAUAUAUAGUCACGAAAAGCAUCGAGGCUAUGUAUGUCAUAUGGUUUGGAGCAAAUGUUGUGCUAGAAUGCACAAGUGAAGUGGUCCGUUUAUUGAGUAUUUGCACAUGCAUCACAAUCCCAGAACACGUGGGUCUCAUAGUACUCACAGACAUCAACACAACAAGCUAGUUACGGACUUCCAAGUCUUUCUUCCGGCCCUCCCUUAAUCAGGUACUUCCAUCGGACCAUCGCAGCUCUCAUCUGGUAGUAGGUCACGUUCCAGUUCUCGAGGCUCAAGGUCUAGCAGACUGCCUCUGUUGCUCCACAGGUAAUGCCUCAAAAUGGUGGGUCUGGGCCUGCUGGUAUUCAUCAGCAGCAACAAUUGCAUCAGCUUGCACUCCAAUCGUAUUCUCAUUUAUCUCAGGUCCUGCCUCAGCAAACGCAAGCUUUGCAAGCUAGGUUUGAGUCAUCACAAAAAUCAUUCUAUCAGCUACAGCAAGAGUUGCAUAUGAUGCAACAGUCUGGUCAGAAAGAUGUGCUUUUGUUAAUACAAUGUGUGUUAAUUAUGUUUGUGUUUGGUCUAUGUUGCUAGGAGAAAGUUGUUCGCGUAUUUGUAUGUUUGGGUUUAGAUGUACUACUAUCAUAUACUUUGCUCAUUUAUUUUUAGGUUGGAAUCUUGAUUUGCUGCAAAAUAACAGACUUGACAAAAUGUUAUAGGGCCCAGACACGACAAAUGUUUUUUUUACGGGUUAACACUAUUUCCGGGCCAACACUUCACUAAAGCCUUGGAUACCCUGAUGUGUGGUCUAGGUCAAGUCCCAAAUAUGCCCAACCGUUGGAUUUCUAUCUAUAACCCUCUCUUAUAUCGAUCAUAUACCUAAAAAGAGAUGAGGAUAUCCUUAAACGAAUGAGUAGCCGCCUCUACAAAAUAAACUCUCUCUAACUAGAUGAUCUGAAUCAAACCCAAAAUCUUUGUUUCUAAGAAAAAUGGAUGAUUCUUCUUUAGGAGUACGUUUACGAUUAUCUUUCACGGAUCUGGUUAUUACCAGUACUCUGCUGAUUCCUAUGAAAAUCCCAGAAGAAGAUGAAGAACUUGUCUUCUUGUUGUUGAUGAUCUACUCGCUCACACAAUGAUUUUUCCUCUCAAAUCCUACAACCUCCUGUAGAGACUGCGUCAUAGCGGUUUGUGAGACUUUCAAAACGAGUAAUGAACCCCUUUCUCAUUCUCUAUAUGGUUGCCGGUGUCAGGGGAGAACUUUGCUAUUGGUAUCAUCCUGAGGAUAGUCAUAGUGAUCGGUGUUUACCAUGUGGUGACCGAGUUGCGGCUGUUAUACCAUCUGAAACCCUAGCUCCGGCUGCUUUAAAGGAUGAUGGACUCGUCUCAGAUCUGGUGAUUCUGCUUGCCGGAGUGUACGGUUUCUUCUUGUCCGAUAUCGCCCUUGGUUUCUACGGCGGUCUGGAGACUUCGCUGGCUGAGACGUCUAUCGUAAUCUUUAUGGGUUUUGCUUUUGCAAGGAGAAGCUUGUCAUGGCGGUGGUGGUUUUCACAGUAGUUACUAGUUGCUUAAUUUAUAUUUAUCAAACUGCCCAAAGCGCUAUUGUUCCUACUGCGGGAGAUCUGCAAGCAAGUGUUGCUGCGGUCGAGGCAAGAGUCGGUCUACUUGAAAAUCCUGGCGAUGCAAUAGUAUGAAUUGUGCUGAAGAAAGUUGGUGUAGGAUGAUUUACUGGAUGUUGUGGUAACGGUAAAAAAAUCGUGGUAUUUUAUUUCUUUAGGGUAUUUAUGGUGUUGCUAUAUUUAUUGGAUUGUUACUUAAAAUCAUCCGUAAGUAGUAAUUUAUUAGGUUGAUGUUAUUAGUAACUGGUAAUUUAUAUGUUGUAAUGUACUGUGAACGGAUGGUGAUCAACCCAAGCAGCAACAAUUCAGGUGCACAGGUUGGAUUUGUCGGUGGUGGCCAAUGCCAAUGCAAUGCUUCUUCCGUUCCCAACUAUAGGGUGCAGUUCACUAGCCAUAAGUACUAGGAAACGAAUAUACCGACUUUCAUUGAGAAAUUUAAGCUUAAUACAGGUUUUUGAAUGUUUUUGUUCUUUUGUUUCCAUAGUUUUGGCUAGCAUAUGAGUCAGAUUCUUUUGAAUAUGUGAACGACUUUUGUUUUUCUUUUCUGAAGCUUAUGUAAUCUAUGUACAGACCAACAAUUACAUCAUUUUUCUGCAGAUACAUACUUAUAUAACCCAUUUCGGAAAAUGGGUCAGAAUUAUAUUUUGAUUA